CAGCAGCCACGGUAAUACGGAGGGUGCAAGCGUUAAUCGGAAUUACUGGGCGUAAAGCGCACGCAGGCGGUUUGUUAAGUCAGAUGUGAAAUCCCCGAGCUUAACUUGGGAACUGCAUUUGAAACUGGGAAGCUAGAGUAUGGGAGAGGAUGGUAGAAUUCCAGGUGUAGCGGUGAAAUGCGUAGAGAUCUGGAGGAAUACCGAUGGCGAAGGCAGCCAUCUGGCCUAAUACUGACGCUGAGGUACGAAAGCAUGGGGAGCAAACAGGAUUAGAUACCCGUGUAGUCCCUGUCUCUUAUAA
rnacentral:rRNA from 1 species